rnacentral:rRNA from 1 species
ACGCUAGCUACAGGCUUAACACAUGCAAGUCGAGGGGAAACGGCAUUGAGCGCUUGCACUCUUUGGACGUCGACCGGCGCACGGGUGAGUAACGCGUAUCCAACCUUCCCAUUACUGUGGGAUAACCUGCCGAAAGGCAGACUAAUACCGCAUAGUCUUCGAUGACGGCAUCAGAUUUGAAGUAAAGAUUUAUCGGUAAUGGAUGGGGAUGCGUCUGAUUAGCUUGUUGGCGGGGUAACGGCCCACCAAGGCUACGAUCAGUAGGGGUUCUGAGAGGAAGGUCCCCCACAUUGGAACUGAGACACGGUCCAAACUCCUACGGGAGGCAGCAGUGAGGAAUAUUGGUCAAUGGGCGCGAGCCUGAACCAGCCAAGUAGCGUGCAGGAUGACGGCCCUAUGGGUUGUAAACUGCUUUUGUAUGGGGAUAAAGUCAAUCACGUGUGAUUGUUUGCAGGUACCAUACGAAUAAGGACCGGCUAAUUCCGUGCCAGCAGCCGCGGUAAUACGGAAGGUCCGGGCGUUAUCCGGAUUUAUUGGGUUUAAAGGGAGCGUAGGCCGGAGAUUAAGUGUGUUGUGAAAUGUAGACGCUCAACGUCUGACUUGCAGCGCAUACUGGUUUCCUUGAGUACGCACAACGUUGGCGGAAUUCGUCGUGUAGCGGUGAAAUGCUUAGAUAUGACGAAGAACUCCGAUUGCGAAGGCAGCUGACGGGAGCGCAACUGACGCUUAAGCUCGAAGGUGCGGGUAUCGAACAGGAUUAGAUACCCUGGUAGUCCGCACAGUAAACGAUGGAUGCCCGCUGUUGGUACCUGGUAUCAGCGGCUAAGCGAAAGCAUUAAGCAUCCCACCUGGGGAGUACGCCGGCAACGGUGAAACUCAAAGGAAUUGACGGGGGCCCGCACAAGCGGAGGAACAUGUGGUUUAA